UACGUAGGGUCCGAGCGUUGUCCGGAAUUAUUGGGCGUAAAGGGCUCGUAGGCGGUUUGUCGCGUCGGGAGUGAAAACUCAGGGCUCACCCUGAGCGUGCUUCCGAUACGGGCAGACUAGAGGUAUGCAGGGGAGAACGGAAUUCCUGGUGUAGCGGUGGAAUGCGCAGAUAUCAGGAGGAACACCGGUGGCGAAGGCGGUUCUCUGGGCAUUACCUGACGCUGAGGAGCGAAAGCAUGGGGAGCGAACAGG
rnacentral:rRNA from 1 species